rnacentral:rRNA from 2 species
UUAGAUGUCUGGGGCCGCACGCGCGCUACACUGAAGGAAUCAGCGUGUGCUCUCCCGGUCCGACAGGACUGGGUAACCCGCUGAACCUCCUUCGUGAUAGGGACAGAGGCUUGUAAUUAUUCCUCUUGAACGAGGAAUUCCUAGUAAGCGCGAGUCAUAAGCUCGCGUUGAUUUGGUCCCUGGCCCUUGUCCACACCGCCCGUCGCUACCACCGAUUGAAUGGUUUAGUGAGGUCUUCGGACUGGCGCUCGGACCGGACGAUCGCGGACGGGCCGAAGUGCCGGAAAGAUGACCGAACUUGACCAUUUAGAGGAUGUAAAAGUCGUAACAAGGUUCCC